rnacentral:rRNA from 1 species
UCCACGCCGUAAACGAUGAGUGCUAAGUGUUAGAGGGUUUCCGCCCUUUAGUGCUGCAGCAAACGCAUUAAGCACUCCGCCUGGGGAGUACGGUCGCAAGACUGAAACUCAAAGGAAUUGACGGGGGCCCGCACAAGCGGUGGAGCAUGUGGUUUAAUUCGAAGCAACGCGAAGAACCUUACCAGGUCUUGACAUCCUCUGACAACCCUAGAGAUAGGGCUUCCCCUUCGGGGGCAGAGUGACAGGUGGUGCAUGGUUGUCGUCAGCUCGUGUCGUGAGAUGUUGGGUUAAGUCCCGCAACGAGCGCAACCCUUGAUCUUCGUUGCCAGCAUUCAGUUGGGCACUCUAAGGUGACUGCCGGUGACAAACCGGAGGAAGGUGGGGAUGACGUCAAAUCAUCAUGCCCCUUAUGACCUGGGCUACACACGUGCUACAAUGGGCAGAACAAAGGGCAGCGAAGCCGCGAGGCUAAGCCAAUCCCACAAAUCUGUUCUCAGUUCGGAUCGCAGUCUGCAACUCGACUGCGUGAAGCUGGAAUCGCUAGUAAUCGCGGAUCAGCAUGCCGCGGUUGAAUACGUUCCCCGGGCCUUGUACACACCGC